UAUGGUUGCAUACUGUUGCGC
rnacentral:piRNA from 1 species